CUACCACAUGUGCGACACGAAUUAACUCUCUCUUCACCUUGGUGACCUUCAGACUGGACAACGGCUGCACAAUCACUCUCAAAAUUAAAUGGGCCAUGGCACCAGGAGCAGCAAGGUCGAGGCCCUCCCUGAGAGCAUUCAGUUCAGCUUUCCUAGCAUUCAGGCAAUUAGCAAAGCAACAUCGCCUGAGGUGUAGAGUCAGUUCGGGUCAUAGAGAGGCCAGCAGGAGAUCUUCUCAGCUUUGUGGAGGUAGCCCACAUAGGGGCAUCAUCGAGCAGGCUAGCGGCGACCACCAUUGCUCAAAUGCUCCUUCCAGGGAUGCUCAGCAUCCUCCCAACAGAAUAACAAAUCCACAACUCCAACAAUGAGGAGUGAAGAAGAAAAUCAAUACACUGAUGCUCCCUUCGGCGAUGAAGCAGACUCCACACCCUCCAUCGAUUUCUUCAGCAAAGGCCUACAACUCAUCAUACUUUCCUCCGUCCAUGGGGACAAUGCCGCCGAGCACUGAUGAGUCAAACACCAAGCAACAUCAGCACUACCAGUCAUACCAUCCUACUAUGCAAUUUCCUCCAGGCAUGUAUCACCAAAAACAUGUUGUGCUUUAGGUGAAGUAGAACCUGAUGUCUUCUACAUAUCACACAUGUAAGAUGAUGCCAUUAACUAUGUAGUAAGAUGUAAUUAUGUCUUAGUGCUUAUCCAAGGCAAUCCCAUGAACUAUGUAAUUAAGUCUAAUUAUAUAUCACCGCUACUGUCCAUCAUUGCUCAA